GACCUGCUCCCGCCUCACACGUUACCUGGGGCUGACACGUGACCGCGACGCCACGUGACUCGGGUCUCGCCUCCGACCCCCGCCCGGUCUCCGGCCGGCGGAAGCGGAAGGCGGGCGGUGGGUGCGGCUGGUCACCUCCUGGAGGGGCCUCUGGGUCCCGCCUGGGGCUGCCGGAUGAAAAGAGGGGUUGGGACCGGACGUGCGGCUCUCCACCGCGGGCCGAGGGUGGGAGUCCCACGGCGGCCGCCCCACGGGAGACGAGAGGGCGUUUCCGCAGGGACGCUGAUGCUAACGCGUCUCUCGGCCUCGGGGCCCGUGGAGAAUCCGGGCUGGGGGGUAGGAAGGAGGGGGAUGUGAACACGCGUACUGAGUGUUACCCCUCGUGCUGGAAAAACACACAAGGCACAGGAUGUAAAGCUAGACACAAUCUUGACUGAAGGGGCUUCAGAGGGUUCGGUGGCUCCCGGCUGUCACCUCGUCCUGGAGGCCGUGGCGGAGCGGCGGCCUUUCCCGGAAGGUUCAGAAGGGCCCCAAGCUGCCCAGGGAAGGAAAUCGCAGCCUCGCUGCUUCCAGAACUUUCCUGAAGUGCCUCUCACUCACUCCCCAGUUCCUGAUUUGCUUCUAGGCUCUGCCCGGUUCUUCUCUUUCUCGACUGCUGCCCGCGCUCUGGCCACACGGGCCCUUUGCAGAGAGAGGUGACGCCCUCCUGCCCUGCUGCUUCGUUGAGCACUUCCAACCCCACCCCCUGGGGAAACGUGCCUCCAGUUCACCUUCAGUGCAGGUGUGUUGGUUACUACCUGUUAUAGGCUUUGAUUUUUGUGACUUUUUUUGUUGUUGUUCUUACAUUUGUUUGCUUUUUGUAGAUUUUGUCUUCCUUGUUCUUUCUUCCUGUCCAGUUUCCCUUCCCCGCCACCUUCUAAUACCAUCAGCUGAACAAGUCGUGACACUGAAGGAUUUCAAGUAAGAGGAAAGCAAAGAGGCCGAGGGAGCCCCAGGCUCGUUGGGUUUUGUCGACUGAAAGUUGAGAGCUGUGUUUUUUUCAGGGAUCGUUCUUAGGACUUCAAGCCGGGUCAUCUCAACCCCGAGAAUCCGAGGGGGGAGCCAGGAUAUAUAGGAGUUUUUGCAACAAAGGGCAGGUAGUCGGAAUGUCAAAAGAUUAUCGUUAAUUAAGGAAAACCAGGUAUCUCAAGUUAAGGAAUUUAGCGCUUUUCUAUGUAUGGAGAGAUGCAAGAGUCUGGGCUCACUGAAAUCAUUCCUUUGAUCUGCACCUCAGCUCUCUGGGGCCAGCGUCCUGUGCUCUCUCAUCCUGAGUCCCCUCAGGGCUCACCGUCUGGGGUAGUUGCAGUGUGAUGACUCCGUGAUGGCAGGCAUUCCUUGUUUCCUUCGUGAGUCUUCUCAGGCUGCAGGGUGGGUAGUGGCUGCAGUUACUGAUGACUGAUGGCUGCAGUGUCCUUCCUUACUGACAUGGCAGGCAGCAUUCUUAGUCCACAGGUUGUUCAGCUCUUUGGGGCAGAAAUCUACUGUUACUACAGAGUUGAUUUGCUGAUGUCUUGUUUAGGUGUUUAGGGAUCUUUCUGGAUUUUUUGUUUGUUGCUGUUCCAAAUGGGGAAGAGUCUCAGCGGGAUCCCAUUUGAGAGAAGUGCUGUCUGUUGAAGUGUGCCGUGGGAAAGAGGAGGUGUUGGAUCUGCGGUCUCUAUGCUUUCACUGUGAGGUCCCUUAUCAGCAGCAGGUUGUUAACAUGAUGUUUGUACAGUAGGUUAUUAUCUGAGCCUGAGCUGUCCCUAUGAAGUAGAGUGUUCAGUUCAGAUGUAACUGGAAAAUUCUAAAAUAUUUCCCUUUUCUCUUGAACUUUCUGAUGGUGAGAAACUACCAAAAAAUCUUGAGUAUGGAAACAAAAGACCUAUUAAUUUUGUGCUUCUCAGCCUUGGAAGCCCCUUCCUCUGUUGAGAGAACGCCUUACCCUCUGAAUAUGGUUGGCAGACAGAGCACCCAGCAGAAGUUGAAAAAACCAGAUGGUCACUUUCCCAGCCUUCCUAGCGGCUAAGGUGCGAGCUCAGCUCGAGUUCAGCCCAUUAGACUGGAUCAGGAGCUAGUGGUUGCCCCUGAACGUGGUGUUUGCUGGUGACGGCAGCUGUAGCCGCAGCAAAGUGGCAUUUCUCCAGGCGGUGGUGAAGGGUCUUCACCGGGUUGUUUGUAGUGUCUUCAGCCGUGGCCCUUGCUGCCCCCUCGCGCCUGCUAUUUCCCUAGCGUCAUUCUGCAUUCCUUUUGGAAAUUCUGUGAGCUACUCAGAGGCCUUUCAACAGGGGAUUUUUCUGCUUAGACCCAUCAGAGCACAUUUCUACUGUGUCCAACUGCCCAAUACACGCUGUGUUUGAAAUCUUCUCUUUUUAAAGACCAAAAAGGAGUUUGUGUGAGCAAAAGAACAGGGUGUAAAAAAAACAGCAGAAAAAUGAAAGGUUUAGCAAAAAUUCUAUGAAGUUACAUUUUAAUAGAGUAUGGAAAAGUAAUAUGGUGGGAUUUUCUUGUUUGGUAUUCUUUUUGUUUGAAUUCUUAAUGAAGGCUGGGUCUGAUCUGGGUUUUUUUCUUCUUGGCCGCGCCACGCGGCUUGUGGGAUCUUAGUUCCCUGACCAGGGAUCAAACCCGUGCCCCCUGCAAUGGAAGCACAGAGUCCUAACCAGUGGACCGCCAGGGAAGUCCUGGAUCUGAACUAUUCUGAUUGAAGGAAAGAUGGGGAAAACCAAGCACAGUGAAGGACUCCACACCUUCUGAAUUCUUUUGGAGACUUUUUUAAAGCCUUUUAAAAACAAAGCAGUGAGGGCAGUGAGUGGAGAGGCCUCUGCGGAGCUGAGCAGGGACUGGGGACCCUGCUUUGGUAAUAAUGAGCGGGCGAGUUCACAGGUGAAAGGUGGGGCCUUUUACCUGUGAAAUGACCUCGUGCCGCUAGGAGGGUGUGGGCUCAGUAGCUAAGGAGAUAAGUGAUGGCUGAUGGUGAAAUCUAGAGGAACGGACUAGCAGGCAGUCUGUGCUUUUUUCCCUCUUUUGCUCUAAGUUACGCUUUUUCUUGAGACUUGGUAAGCAAAACUAGUAAUGUCGCAUAGUGCUGUCGUUUUUAAAGCUUGUUUUAUGAAAUUUCUAAAAGGGAAAUUUUGAAUAAAAUUAGGAUAAUCCAGUGAGUGCUGUUGUACCGUUACUUUUACCAUUUUCCCUCCCUCCUCACUUGUUUUGUGUUUUGGUUGGUUUGGGGGCUUGAGUGUUAUAAAACAAACCUCAGACAUUAUAUUUUUCAUGUAAAUCUUUUACAUAAACAGAAUGCCACUAUUGUAGCUAAUAUAAAAACAAAACCUAAGAAUUCCUUAGUAACUAAUUUCCAGUUUAUGUUCACACGUCUCCAGUUGUCCAGAAAACAUCUUUUUACAGCCAGUGUGCUCCCUGUGGCUCCGGCGAGGUCUGCACGCUGCCCUUGAUGGCGUGUCUCAAGUCCCCGUGUUGGGGAAGGGGAAACGAGACCACUUGUCCUGUAGGACACCCACACUUUGGGUUGACCUGCUGGAGCAGACCUGUAAGGAAGAAUUUUCCAUCGUGGACCAGUUGGUUACUCCAGAGUACCGUCCCUACAGGAAAGCUGGGAUCCGUGCCUGGUUCGAGAUGCUUUUGUCUGGCUUCAGAGGAAGAACUCAGUGCCGAAGCAGCUUCCAGAAGUGAACUGCCGCACCCGCGUGAGGCGUGCGCUCUGGGGGGUGAUGACCUGUCGGUGCGGGUUCCUCAGCGUUGACCGGCGCCCCACCUGGUGCGGACACUGAUGGUGGGGGAGGCCAUGUGUGGCGGGGAGGUAGCAGAGGGGCUGUGGGAACUCUGUACUUUCAAUUUUGCUAUGAACCUGAAGCUGCUCUAAAAAAUCCAGUUUAUUAGAAAACAAAGUGAACAUCACAUUUUAAAAAAUGUGAUGUUAAAGUGCUGUGUCACCGUGGAUUUCUGUAUAGUUGAUAUGUCUUCAGUCUUUGUAGUUAUUAUCAUUUUCAGGUUAAAAUUGUGUGGUCUUGGUAGUGCAGCCUCCUAGAUGUGAGUAACUGUGAUAUUCCUCUCCGCGUGGGCUGCCCCUGUUGCUGUCCCACCAGCGAUGCAUCAGCAGAGAGCCUGUGUGCCCACAGCCUGACCCUGGCCUGUACGAAAUUAUGUCCCUGCAGUUUUCAUUUGCAUUUUCCUUAUGAGUGGGGCACCUGCCUUUUUGCCCAUCUUUCUAUCAGAUUAUAGAGAUAUUUGCAAUACAAGUCACAUUUUUAAAGUCAGUGUAUCAUUUUUAGAAUCAUUUUGUUUGCUUAUGGCAUGUCUUUGUGGAAGUUCUUUUGUUUAAACGUGGGUGAAUUGAUCACUCUUCCGUAGCAUUUGGGUUUUAAGUCCUUCCUAGUCCUAGGUUAGAAGACUCUGUCUCUUCUGCCAAUGCAUGUGUAGUUUCAUUUCUGCAUUUGUAUCUCUGAUUCAGGAUGCCAACGGGCAGGGCAGAGAAGGGGUCCAUGUCACCCUUCCCGUGCAGGUCUCUAGGUAUCCUCCUUCCACUUAUCGAAAGCUCCCCUUUUGUGCACUGAUUUGAGAUUCCACCUCGUCCUGUGCUGACGUGAGAACAUACUUGACUUGAUUUUUGGAGCUGCCCCAGCACCACUCUUUUGAAGUUAUAGAUGCUGUAUCUGCGGGGCCAGCUCCACUCUUGAAGUUAUAGGUGCUGUAUCUGCGGGGCCAGCUCCCUCACUUUUCUCCUUCAGGGUUUUUCUGACUGUUGUUGUCUAUUUGGCCAUGUGAUCUUUUGCAAUCAAGUUGUCUUUGAAGAUAAAGUUAACGUUCACCCGAGAGAAAUUCUGACUUAGGUUGGCAGUGUUUACGGCAGCUGUAGCCAUCAUUGCCCCAGGCUGCACGCAGGCGGUGGCGGGGAUCCUCCGGGCACUUGGGAAGUGCAGGACAUUCUGGAAAGGGCAAAACUGUUGGGAUUGGCGGGGCUGGGGCAGCCCGAGGGGGUCUGGGCUGACGGUGACGAGGGGGUGGGGAUGGGACUUUGAAGGUUUGCCAAACCCAUAGGAACGUGCACCCCGAAGACUGGACUUCAUGUUAAUUUUAAAGCUACCAAGCAGGAUGUGGGGGUGCAGUCCGUGACAAAGGUGACUGUCCUGGUGGUCCUGUGGCCACACCCCAACCCCAGGAACUCCGUGUGUGGACCGGAGAUCUGUGUGGACACUGUCCUCUGGCUGGUCAGCUCAUUCUCCCUGGGGUAGGUUAGCGGUUCUGAAGCUGUACGUUUACCGGUGUUGAACAAAUAAGGAGAUAUUUUGCAGAUAAUGAGAACUGGCAGGUUCCUUGCUGUGGGAGCGAGAAGCCGCGGGGGGAAGAGGGGAUCCUGUGAGCUGGAGCUCAUAUGUGUGUUUAGAACACAGAUCGACGGAGAGUCACGGAAAUCCACAGAGCCGGGCGUUUGCGCGCGUCGGACUGUCUCCUGAGUGCCCGCUGAGGGCCGAGAAGCACAGCCCUGCAGGUGAGGGUCCUGAGGACGCUCCCUGGGAAAGGAGCCAGGCGGUGCCCACCCGGGGCCUCGGGGACGCAGGUGCCAACCUGAGCUGCCAGCAGCCCUGGGCGCUGGAUGAGGAGGUGAUGCUGACAGCAUUGGGGCGGAAUCCAAAGGGUGGGGUAAAUGUCGCUGAGAAGUGAGGGAACACAGGGCAUGUCCUCCUCACAGAGCCUCCAGCACGGAGGGCCGUGGGCAGUGACCGCUGCGACCGCUGCCGGCGCCCCGGGGGACCGGUGCUCGAAGCUCAAGGGCAGACGGCGUCCGUAUGGUCUCAGAGACGUCUCCAAAUAGCUCUUUCUUAACUACAAAGAAAAAAGGAGUCAUUGUGCAGUGGAGACGCCACCUGCCUCAGCUGUGAGGGUCCCUGUCCCUGGUGACACCGCUGUGCCCUCCUGUCCUUCCUGGUGACCUGUGCCGCAGGCCAGUCCUCAGUAUGGAGCAGGUGGUGGGGCGGCUGGCGACGGCUGACCCUGCUCCUCAGAAGCCUCCAGGUCACGGAGACAGGGACCAAGGGGACUGUCCCAGGUGGGGGCCUGAGGAUCCAGGGUCAGCUCCCAGGACAGAGAUGGGCAUUUGCAGAAAUACUGGUGACGUCCUCGUCCACCGCGUGGCGUAGCCAGUAGCGUCGGAGCAGGGCCACCCUCGUUGCAGAUGGUACAUGCUUUCCUUCCCAGAGGGGCUCAUGUCCCGGGAAGUGUGGAGACCGGGGGAGGGGACUCUGGUGCCCCUGCAGCUCUUCUGUGAGUCCCAAACUGAAAGAAUCUUUUUUUUUUUUUUUUUUUUUUUUUUUGCGGUACGCGGGCCUCUCACUGUUGUGGCCUCUCCCGUUGCGGAACACAGGCUCCGGACGCACAGGCUCAGUGGCCAUGGCUCACGGGCCCAGCCGCUCCGCGGCAUGUGGGAUCUUCCCGGACAGGGUCACGAACUUGCGUCCCCUGCAUUGGCAGGCGGACUCUCAACCACUGCACCACCAGGGAAGCCCCCGAAAGAAUCUUUACUGGGAUCACGUGGUGAUUAUCAGUCAGCUGUGAGGAUGUGACGUCUUUGUGGUGUCCCUGUCGUCCUCUGAAAAGGACGCACGACGUGAGCCCCGAGUUUCCGCGUGAUUCGGGGACAGCCCGUCAUCCAGCUCCGGGGAGCCGCUACGAGGAGGGGGGCCUCGUGGAGGGUCGCUGCCUGUCACGGGGACAGGUGUACCCGUGAAUGACUCUAGCGCUUUCCUGAGGGUGGGAAGAUGCAAGGAUCCGGUCUGUAAAUGUUGUUCCUAGAGUGUAAUCGUCGAAGGGCCUGUUUUCCCAAAGCGCCAGGCCUCAUUCCGUCCUGGGUCUGCGCUCCCCUCGGGCUGCGCUGUGUGCGCCCGGCGCCCCAUGGCUUGAUCCUCGGGGAACCAGAUGGUGGGGACGUCCUUUGUUUUACACUAUAAUUAAUUGAAGUCUAGCUUAUGCUGCUUUUGAAGAGUUUACUGUCUUACUGUGUGAAGAUAACAGGUGCUGUGAUAGGCAAAUUGGAACAAAAGGGGGAAAUUCAAUGUUCACGUCAACCAGCUAUGUAUUGUGAUAUUUAAAGGCUCUUUUCCAUGUAUUUGUGCUUUUUAAAAAAAUUAUUGUUGCAUUUUGUAUCCUCCUCUUUUCACUUGUAACAAAUAUUUUCCCAUGCUAUUACAAACUCUAUAAAUACACUGUUAAUAGUACCUGUUAUUACA